rnacentral:piRNA from 1 species
UAUAGCUUUACAAGGUAAGCCUGGUCUU